CUCUUCUCCGCAGCCCUUCACCAGGCGUCCAACGGGGUGCAAUGCCGCACCUCUUCGUGGGCUCCGUGUGUGUACGCUCGACCGCACAUGGAGUCUGUGGUAUACCCUUUUCCUCUCCCCCAUCCCACCCUCCGUUUGGAUCCCGCAUUGGAAACGAGUGAUUAGUCAGCUGUGCCUUGCCCAUGCGUGCGUGUGCGUGCGUGCUUGUGCGUUUCGCUUCUGAUCGUGGCUGUUUGGCCCGAUGACGAGCGAUCGACCUCGCGCCCUCACCUCUCUUUCAAAAUAGGCGGCUGCAGCGUUACAUCGCUCGGAGAGAUUUUCGCAGCUGUGCAUGCGUUCAUUUUGGUGGCGCGUGGUAGCGAGGGGAGGGGGAGUGAAACGGAGGGAGGGUGGUGGGGUUUCUCCACUCGUUCUCUAGCUGUCGCACGCUCGCUCUGCCGCAGGAUUCUAGGAGCCAACCCCCCCCCCGACCACACGUCUUGUGAGCACGUUGCCCCGUAUGGUACCAGAGGCCCACUGCUAGAUGUUGCGAUACGGUGCACAAGGUGUAAAGCAACGGCGACUGCGGACGUGCCUGCAGGAGCGGUUACUUCCGCCUGUGUGUAUGCCUGUUUCCGUCACCCUGGGAAGGGGGUCGAACUCGGUUCAAGCGAAUACAUACGUUUGCGUGGAGGCGGGCAAGGGCGGAAAGGUUGGCGCGCGCACCCGAUCAGGCCGCCAGCACGAGUAGCAACACAAUAAUACUUAGUGCGCCUUUUCUGUAUCGGUUCGUUCACACAGCAUGGCUCCGUUGCUCUUUCCGCUUUUCCUUUGUCGACGCAAGUUGCCUUGCUCGCUCGCCCUCUCCUUGCGCGACUGUGUCUGUGUGUGUGUGUGUGUGUGUGUGUGUGUGUGUGUGUGUGUGUGUGUGUGUGUCGAGGAAGAGGAGGGGCGGGGCGGGCAGGGUGGGGAUGGACUGGUGGCAGCUGUUGAUGUGUUAGAAGUGGCUAGAUGCGAGAAAAUGAGGCGAGUGGGUCGUGCUCUUGAUGGUGGAACGAUCCGCGCCUGCGCGGGUGUUGCCUGCAAGCAUCUGCGUGUCGCUGUGGUGCAUGCGAGGUGUCCGCGUCUGUGUGGGCGAGCGAGGGCCGACGGUUUGGCUUGCUUGAGAGUGUUCUGCCUCCCUUGCUCGCGUCCGCUCCCCCUCCCCCUCCCCUCUCCCCCCCCUCUCCCCCUGCCUUCCUCCGCCGUCGAUGCGAACGUUGUGAUGUCAACCUCAAUGGACCAUUGUUGCAAUACACGAAUGCCUUUAGAUGCCCUGCAUCGAGGACGAGACCCCAAUCGAGAAAUCCGCAGAGAAGGACUGAACGCUCGACGAUUCCACAGGUGGGGCUGUGCAGGGAGAGAGAGAGGAGGGGAGUAGACUGUGGCACUGGAUAACAGGGCAGCCGCUCCGCUGCCAUAACGCACCCCACCCGUCCACCCUCUCCCCUCUCUUGCAUGUGGCAUGUGAGUGCCCUGUAUAGAAUAUAUAUAUAUGUGUGUCGAGGUGUGGGCUGUCCUCCUCCUCCUCCAUGACGACACACCACUAUUUGCACGUCAGUUUGACUUAUGGUUUACUCGGCAUGAUACAAACAUAGCUGACCCACCCACACCCACAUGCACACACACACACACACACAGACAGACACACACGCUUCUUGUGAUGUGCAAGCGGGGCUGCGCCUGUGGAGGGGGUGCGUGUGUGUGCAUGUGUGUGCGAGGGUAUGGGCUUUACUGACGAGGAGAGAAGGUUUAACUGCAGGCUUCGGCGGUGCAGCAGCUCGGGGUGCGGUGCGGUGCAGUGCUGGUGGUGGUGGGGACACAUGCGCGCUGGGAUGGGGGUGAGCAGAGGAUAGCGAAGUAUGAGCGGCAGGGAAGCUUUUCUUUGAGUCGUUGUGCGUCUGCACGCCUUGCGCAUACCUGUGCGGCGUUCCUAUGAUGCUUCAAUGAAUUAGGAAAGGCGAGAUGCACACAUGCCGAUGUGCGUGUAUACGUGUGUUGUGAAAGCCCAGACAUGAUUGCUGCGAGAGAGAGACAGGUGGAGAUUGGGCGGGGUGCGGAGGCUAAGCGUCUCUUGUGACGCGCCACGACUUCAUCGUGUCUCCUUGCGGCGCUCCUCCUCAUCCUCCUCCACCCUUCUAUACGCACUCACUCAAAGUUGGACGGAUGCCUUCUCUAGAGUCAUUGCAGCCGAACUGUUGGCCUCUUCCCUCCCGCCCUUCCCUCACUCUCCCCCUUGCAUCUCCUUCUGCGUGCGCCACACGUGACUACACACCAUCUCCGCCGCGCUCCAUCCGCGCCGCUUGCCUCUUUCCUCUGGAGAGAGGUUGACAGGGGAUGGGUGCCGUGCGGAAGGAUAAAGGGGAGAAGAGAACUGGGGGCGAGCGGGGUGGCGAAUCGGAGGGCAACAUCGUCACUGUUCCUGCGAUGUAGUUAGGAGGGCUAGAUGUUGCUCUAUGGCUGUGCUCGCGUGUGCCUGUGUCUACGUCUCUCCGUCUCUUGAUGGUGCUGGCAGCGAAGCUCGAACGCAGCCAACAAAGGUCUGUACAGGACGGCCUCUCCCAGGGGGAUCGUGCUGUGGCUUGAGGCUGCGACACGUGCUCUGCGGCGCGUCGCGGCCAUCCGCUUCCGCAUUCCUUUCCACUUGCCUAAC
rnacentral:misc_RNA from 1 species